rnacentral:rRNA from 1 species
UCCCAGACUCCUACGGGAGGCAGCAGUGAGGAAUAUUGGUCAAUGGUCGGGAGACUGAACCAGCCAAGCCGCGUGAGGGAUGAAGGUACAGAGUAUCGUAAACCUCUUUUGUCAGGGAACAAAGGCGGGGACGUGUCCCCGGAUGAGUGUACCUGAAGAAAAAGCAUCGGCUAACUCCGUGCCAGCAGCCGCGGUAAUACGGAGGAUGCGAGCGUUAUCCGGAUUUAUUGGGUUUAAAGGGUGCGCAGGCGUUCUGUAAAGUAGGAGGAAAAGCCCGGGGGCCAACCCCCGGCGAGCCGUUGAAACUGGCGGGCUGGAGUUGGAGAGAAGUACGCGGAAUGCGCGGUGUAGCGGUGAAAUGCAUAGAUAUCACGCAGAACUCCGAUUGCGAAGGCAGCUUACUAAACUAUAACUGACACUGAAGCACGAAAGCGUGGGUAUCGAACAGGAUUAGAUACCCCUGUA